GGGGAUUUAGCUCAGCGGCAUAAGCGCCUGCCUUGCAAGCAGGCAGUCAGAAAUUCAAUCCCCG
rnacentral:tRNA from 1 species